rnacentral:rRNA from 1 species
UGUUUGGCACCUCGAUGUCGGCUCAUCACAUCCUGGGGCUGAAGUAGGUCCCAAGGGUAUGGCUGUUCGCCAUUUAAAGUGGUACGCGAGCUGGGUUUAGAACGUCGUGAGACAGUUCGGUCCCUAUCUGCCGUGGGCGCUGGAGAACUGAGGGGGGCUGCUCCUAGUACGAGAGGACCGGAGUGGACGCAUCACUGGUGUUCGGGUUGUCAUGCCAAUGGCACUGCCCGGUAGCUAAAUGCGGAAGAGAUAAGUGCUGAAAGCAUCUAAGCACGAAACUUGCCCCGAGAUGAGUUCUCCCUGAGACUUUAGGUCUCCUGAAGGAACGUUGAAGACGACGACGUUGAUAGGCCGGGUGUGUAAGCGCAGCGAUGCGUUGAGCUAACCGGUACUAAUGAACCGUGAGGCUUAACCUUACA